AAUAGUCUCGACCUUGAAUAUUGGAGGCUUAUCAGUAACAUUUAAGAAAUUUGCCAGAAAACUAUUUGUAACACUGUAUGUAAGUGUAGAUAUACCACAAAGGAAGCAACUACCAAGUAUGUACACAGAAAGAGCCACGGUACCAAGAAGCUGUGCAUGAAGAGCACUUGUACCGGCAGGGGCAGACAGUGGAGUCAUACAGUAGCCACUCCAUAGGUGACCACAUGGCUACCUCCAUUUCCUUCACUCCUCUGGCAGUUUCAUAAUUCAACUUUGUCAUUUUGGUUUAUUGUUAGUGAUAUUAUUAACAGGGUUCCCAUAACAGGCUGCUAAAUUACACAGCCAUCAACAGGAAAAAACCUGGUCAAAACUGCUUUAUGUGACUGUGAGGUCUAAUUUUAGCUUAAAAUUUUACCCUUGUUUUAGGUUCUUCAGUGGAGAAUAUGCCUGAGAGAAUCUAAUGUUAAAACUGAAUGACAAACUUUUGAUAUAAUAUUCCCCUAUUUAAACUAUGACAUAUUCAAGGUGAUGGGAUAUCAAUACAGUAUAUAUAAUUUUAGUUGUGCCAGUUCACCUCUACACUAAAGACUAUAUACUGUACACAUAUUAUGGAGACAGUGGGAACCUAAAUUUUAGUAGUUUUACAUUAACUUGCCUUCUGUUGGUUUGCUUCAGUGGUUCAUGGCUUCUGUGAUUGAUUAAUUGUUACUGAGCAGUCUUUUUCAGAAAGUAGUACGUAUAUAGUAAUUGAAUUACAGUAUUUUACUUUUGUAUGUAAUCAAUCCACCUCCAGUAUACUGGAAAGCUACCAGUAUGAAAGUGAUUCAUUAUAGCAAUUGCGAAUUCAACUGUUGUGUUAUAGUAUACAUUAAGAUAUUAUCCAGGGUGUGUGUGUGUGAUUUGUGUACUGUAGAUCUUUCACAUCUGGACAGAUCAUUAGGUAUUAUCCGGGGUGUGAUUUAUGUACCGUAGAUCUUUCACAUCUGGACAGAUCAUUAGGUAAACUACAUACAUAGACCCAAUAGACAGUAUGUGCGUGCUUGAAUGAUGCUUCACAAUACAUUCUUGACAUAGGUAACUGGGUUUUCUCACUUGUUAAUUAUAUAAUGUUCUUAAUAUUACAUUUUUUAUUUAGUCUGUUCUCAUCAGGAAUUUUUCAAUAUCAAAAUUUUCAGUAAAAUUUCUAACAUAUUUAUAAAUAACUUUGCCUAUAAUGAUCUAUUUUAUUUAUCUUUCCACUAAUAAUGCCUCUCAUAAGAAAGAUUCCAGUAAUAGAUAAGUAGAUUGAAUAAGUUGUAUAUAGUACUGUAAUAUAAAUAAUUAAACAUAUGGUAUACAGGGAAGUUCCCGUCCUCCGAUCAUGAGAGAGGUUCUGGAGGUAAUUUUCUUAACCUGGCUGCAAUCUCUUUUCUUGUGGCAUUUGAUUAACUUUAAGUCAGAUUUUAUGACCAAUAUCUUUUUUCUCUAGUACCCUUAAGUUUGGGUACCUAGAUCUUGGCUAGAUACUGCCUUGUUACAGAAGCUUGUGGUCUCAGGGGGGCUUUUGAAUGCCAAAGAGCUUCUUUUGAUGAUCAUUAAGUGAAUUACUAUUACUAAUAAUUUUCAGAAAAUUGAUAGAAUUUCUUAAUAUGUAAUAACCAUUGAUGAAAUUACAAGUGUGUUGAUAUAAUGUACUUUGAGUCAUUGUUUGUCAACUUCAGCAGUAAAACUUUCAUAUUUUUGUGUGAGGAAUACCAUUAGUUGCCAUAUGACACACCAAGGUUACUUAUUGUAGUUUACAUGUACUGUACAAGAUAUUUUACUAACCCUAUCAAAAUGAAGUACUAUGGAAUGUUCCCAUUUAGAUUAUGGUCUUACCUUUUAGCAUAAAAUAAUGUACACAGGAUAAUCUUAUUUUCUACACUUGUGUUUUUGCUCUAAAUGUUUUGGUAUAAUAUUGCCCAAUACAUGAAACUUUUUUCGUGUGAUAAUUUCCAUUGGUGUGAUCAAAAAAUUAUUAUCCAAUGACUGUCAUGAUAUGUAGGAGUUAAGAUCACCAUCCAAUGGAUCAUCAUUCACGUGGCACCCAUAUACAGUACAGUACUUCAAUUUUGCUUUAAUUCAAACUUCAUGGCUUAAAAGUAUUAACCAAAGGUUGUUUAUGAAAUUAUAAUUAGCUUACACCAAAUAUUUCUAGUACUGAUGAAAAUAUUUUGGUACUACAACUGUUUUCUUUAAUAUGUCUAACACCAGAAAUAUCCAUGUACUGGAGUUGUAAUUUUCACAAGAUGUUUUCCUUUGAUUUCAUUGGAUAGCUUGUGAAUUUAAAGCUUUGUUACUAUUAAUAAAAAUUUAAGGUUC